ensembl:lncRNA
GACUGAGAGACAGAGACACAGAGGGAGAGAGGAAUCCUGAACACAUGGGAGUGAGAAAAGGCUACCCACUUGGGAUACAUUUGCUCUUCGCAUGCUAUUUCCCAUCUCGCUUGCCUCCCAUGCGCACCAGUUUCUCGCCCCCCUGCUAAUUCUUUCACUGCCAGCAUGGCAGAGAAAAACCGCACAGCGAUUGGUGCAUGUUGCCUCAAUAGAAAUCAGAGAGACCAGUAGACGGCUCAACCGCAGGGCCAGCCACAGAGCCCUGACUACCUGUGUGGAAUGAACACAGAGCCCAGCACUACAUGGAAGAUUUGAGGAUAAAGUCCAUCUUGGCCCUUGACUCCGAGGUUUUAGAUUGGUCGAACAAUAGCCAUUUAGUUCAUUUCAAAUGACCAGAGCAAGAAAUGGGAUGGUUCAUCUACCCACCAGCUAAUACCCCGUGUCUACUGUAUUUGUAUACAGUAUAGACCGAGCGUAUAAAUACAUAGAUCCAGUUGUCACCGAAAGCGUCCCACAUUGCUAUCUUCUCAUGAACUGGUGUUUGGUACUACAAGACUUGUGCUCUUAAAAAAAAAUAGAGACAAUUAGUUUAAUUUGAUCUUUGCUUUUGCUGCAGAGAUGUAUGGAAAGUGCUGUCUCACACAGUCUUUGGAAAAUGCUGACUUACAGUCUGUCUCAAGUCAUGCCCAGGGAAUAACUUCUGUUCCUGUAAGCUCUCCUUACUCACUGCCGUGGACGACAAGGCUGGCGACCUAAGGGCCUCGCACGUUUCCCCCACAAUUCAAAUGUGAGCUUCGCUCACCACAGUGAUCUCCCUCUUCACCUUCAUUGUGCCUUUAAGCAACAGUUAAAAUGACAGGUGAUUUCUUGUGAACUUUCUUUUCAAGCCUAUCUGAAAAUGUGUAAGGGUGAGCUCAGGAGCAUGUAAGGUGCAUAGACUCUCUCUCUGUCUCUGUCCUCCCCAGCCCCAUAAUAUACGUACAGCAUUUCUUCUUUCUCUUUCCUCUCUUUCAACCAUCCCACAUACUUUCUCCUUCCUUUCUGUCUUUCAAAUUCAUGGCUUCCCUUUCUCAUUAAUUGAUAUUGCAUUGCACACACACACACACACACACACACACACACACACACACACACGCACGCACAGGCACGCGUGCGUGUGCAUACACACCCAGACACAGAGUUCUUUUCAGUUGUGUGUGUGUGUGUGUGUGUGUGUUUAUAGAUGGCUUAGCCACUAAAGGCUAGACUCACAACCAAAAAGAGAUGGCUCAUUGUCUAGAACCACAUUUAAUGGGAGUAAUUUUGUUGCGUGUUGCAGAGUGAUUCUGGUUGUGAUUAGUUCUUCAGGUCUGACCUUUUUGUUUUUUUUAUUGCAACCAAAGGGCAAUGACUAUGGCUGGAGCUAGGGUGUCAGCCACUGGAAGUCAAUUUCUUCUUUUCACGAAGGGGUUCCAUUGACAGGAUGAAGCUGUGUAUGUGGAGGUUGCCACCCACUGGUGAAAGAAGAGCAUUUCUGUUUUGUGCGUCACUGGGGUUGGGUAAUGGGGGCCUUCUGUUUUCGGGGUGUGGAUUUGCAUGUUGAAAUCCUUUCAAAGACUGGUUUCAAACUCUACUGGAAGAAUAAGGAAUUUCACAGUUACUGUCUUGACUAGAGAAAGAAAACAGUUACUCUUGGGAAACUCUUUGAAGAGUUGCAUUUGCAUCUCCUGGAACCUCUACAACGCUGCUAGAAAGUGAAAAGUAGUUGCAGAAUCAAAAGGGCCGCAGUGUUUUCGCAUUGUUUGCUACUGAAUUCUAAGAUGAAAGCGGUUAUUGCUUCCUUUCGGCCCUUGGUUUUUUGUGUAUGACCACUGUGGAAAGUUUGCACUACCUUACCAGGAACAGAGCUGCAUGUGUGUACAGAAAUCAAAAUGUAAGCCUUUAAUAAUGAUGCUUUAUGACGUGUAAGAAAAAAAAGCCCACCACUUUAAAUCAUAGCCACAUUAAAAGAGACAGGUAGGAAAGGAAGAAAGUUCAACGAGUUGAGCCGCGGUUUUCGUCACUCCGCUGGCACAAAUCAAAAUUCGAACGCACGCAUGAGAAUUAAUGAUGUGAUAGAGACCCCAUGUCGGUC